rnacentral:rRNA from 1 species
CUAAUACAUGCAAGUCGAACGGUAACAGGUUCUAAAGCAAUUUAGAAUGCUGACGAGUGGCAAACGGGUGAGUAAUACAUAUGAACUUUCUCUAAGAAGAGGAUAGCCAGUCGAAAGAUUGGGUAAUACUCUAUAUGGCCGAAAGGUUAAAGUUUAAUACGCUUAGAGUGAGGCAUAUGCCCCAUCAGCUAGUUGGUAAGGUAAUGGCUUACCAAGGCUAAGACGGGUAGCUGGACUGAGAGGUUGAUCAGCCACACUGGGACUGCGACACGGCCCAGACAUCUACGGAUGGCAGCAGUAGGGAAUUUUCCGCAAUGGGCGAAAGCCUGACGGAGCCAUGCCGCGUGCAGGAUGACGGCCCUAUGGGUUGUAAACUGCUGUGGUAGCCUACCAAAAAAAUGAGGAGGCUAUUAGAAAGAGGUUGCUAACUCUGUGCCAGCAGCAGCGGUAAUACAGAGACCUCGAGCGUUAUCCGGUAUCACUGGGCGUAAAGCGUACCGAUCGGUUGUUUAGUGUGUCUAAAGUGAAAGGCCGAAGCCUAACUUCGUGUUUGCUUUAGAAACUACUAAACUUGAAGGGCAAAGAGGUGGUUGGAACUCUGCAAGUAGGGGUGAAAUCCGUUGAUAUGCAGGGGAACACCAAAAGCGAAGGCAGACCACUAGGUGCCUCUUGACACUGCUAGGACGAAAGCGUGGGGAGAGAACGGGAUUAGAUACCCCGGUAUUCCACGCCCUAAACGAUGAGUGCUAGUUUUUGGGGAAAGUCAAUCUUCCUCGGAGACAAAGCUAACGCAUUAAGCACUCCGCCUGUAGAGUACGAGCGCAAGCUUAAAACAUAAAGGAAUUGACGGGAACCCGCACAAACGGUGGAUCAUGUGGCUUAAUUCGAUAAUAAGCGAGGAACCUCACCUAGGUUUGACAUGCAACUGCACGACUAAUGAAAGUUAGUUUCUUUCGAAGGUGUUGCACAGAUGAUGCACGGUCGUCGUCAGCUCGUGUCGUGAGAUGUUCGGUUAAGUCCGGUAACGAGCGCAACCCCAAUCCUUAGUUAUUUAAUGUCUAAGGAGACUGCCC